AAGAUGAGUGUGAUCAAAGGGAGUGGGUUAGCUGGUGAAGGGAUCAUCAUGGAGGAGGAUCAUGAAGAAGAAGGAUCCUGAGAGGAGAGAAUUCCUGCUGUAAGGUCAACUCUUCACAGAAAGGUUUUUGCCAUCGUGAAUCUGCCAGGUGACAGGUCUGUACUGGCAGGUAUUAUUGCUGGCUUAUUCACUGAAUUUAUAUCAGAAACGUUCGAGGUCCUAGUCUCUAUCUGAAAGGAUAUCCUGCUGGAUGAGGUAAUCUUUUCCUCUGACCCACGGGACUGGAUUAAAAUCAGUUGCUUUCCUGCAUGAUGCUGAAUGCCCUGGGUGGGCGGGCUGUGGAGCCCUGUCCCAGAAGAGAGUAUGAUUUGUAGAUGUUUUACUACAACAGCUAUUGCUCACCCUCAGUCUACUUCCAGAGACAGAGGAGCCUGUUUAAAUAACGUAUGACGUUGUUGAACAAUGGGGAAGGUUUCAGAGGACAGCGGGCUUUUCCUGUCAGGGGUUUGCUGCCUUGGACUCAGAUCCAAGCUCCAAGUAUGGCUUUGUGGAGGUGAAGACCUGAAAAAAAACAGCUCUCCAAAAUUCUGACAGGAACUUUUACAGAAAGCCUGGUUAUGCUGCAGGCCUUGUUCUGGGCCUUUGGCACUGACUGCAACCGGGAUUAUGUUCUCCAUAAAACACAGUUGUUGAGCGUUUUUCUUUUUUUUUUUUCCUCCUGACAAAAAGCUAUGUGAGCUGGACCCAGCCUGUGACCUGUCCCUCUGUUCUGAAGGCUGAGCCUCUGCCCUGCUCACACCGCCCGUGUGUGGGGAGAGGCUCAGCCAUGGAUCUCCUGCCAUCUCCUGAGCAGCUGCGCUGGGGCACUGCUGGGGUGGUCUCUGUGCUCCCUCACUCCGCCCUCGCAGGUGCUGUUUCCUUGCUCUUGAAUGCUCUUGAUGAAGUCUUCAUCCCAGGCACUCCUGAAAGACGCUUCCAUUGCACUUGGGAAACGCUUUCUGUGCUGGUGUUGAGUGCAUGUCUUAUGCACGUGGCCUUGUUGCAGCUCCAAGUUAAUUCUACCUACCUGGGAGAGGAUGUGGAUCAUGGGGAAAGCUGAGGGGAGCAGCCGGUGAAACUGGAGAUGCACCAGCCUCUGCCCCAAGAGCUGGAUGAUUGUAUAAGGCUGUAAAUGAGGAAUUCCCUUCCAGCUAAGCAGUGCUGUGAUAAACUCUGUCACGAGUUUAAACUUUUAUCUGCAUGUGAAGAGCCUCCCUUCCCCAGCCGUGCAUCUUUUGCAGCUUCCUGGCACAGGCAGGCUGAUGCAAAAACCCCUGUGAAACCUUGCUUUGCUGGCAUGUCCUGGAGCUGCAGACAAAGAUAUGUUUGCACAAAAUGCUCUCUGCUGCUCCCUCAGCAUACUGGAGUGUACAGGUUGGAUUAAGGAGUUGUAAAGGGAAGAUAUAUGUCUUAAUUACCUGCCAGCCAUUUGUUAGUCUAUAAAAGUGAAAUACAGAAUUGUUAUUUAAGCCUUCUUUGUAUGAUUGUUUUCAUACUGAGCAAAUACUGCAUGCUAAAAUUACAAGGUGGGACAAGAACAGACCCAGUAGCAUUCCUGUUAAACCCUCACCCUGCUUGGUAAGAUAUAUCUCCUGUCUAAUUCUAAAUCCACUUGCCCAUCAAACUUGUACCACCAUCCACAAGCAGAAGAAGGAACUGCUGCUGUAAAACUACAUAACCUUUAGACUUCCAGAUGAAUCCUUAGGGCAUAAUUUAAGGAAACAGGGUCAUGUGUUGGACACCGUGUCUUGCACGAUGGUGUCAUUAUCUCUUAUGUAUUAGCAGGCUACUAAUGCUGACAUCUAAUUAGCACCAAGAAACUGAUUAACUCUCAAUAGGGUCAAGCGAAAGAAGAAAAAUAGAUCCCAGGCAAGCAAUUAGGACAUUUAUUUAAUAAAUUAAAAUACUUGUGAUUAUAAGCUCACUCUGUCAUUUUAUUUCUGUACUGCUCAGCUGAAGGCAGAAACAAUGAUAAAAUAGUAAAUGUAAUACCAUGUUAAUGGCAGCUUAUUCAAAACACAGAAUAUACCCACCUGAAUUUCCUCUAGUGGACAAUUUAUCACCCAAAACAGAUGCAUUUAUUAGACGAAAAGUUGCAUUCAAAUACCAGUAAAAUAAAUGGAGUCUAUUCAGAUUUCUUAUUCUUGGGCUAUUCCACACUAUGGAGGCCAAGUACA